rnacentral:tmRNA from 1 species
GGGGCUGACCGGUAUUGACAGCGUAGAUCUUUGAAAGUAAGCAUGCAGUGCGUUGCGAAUGUUGCACUUUAAUCUGAAUUCGAAACCAAUAAAUGGCGAGAAUACUUACGCCAUGGCUGCCUAAUCAGUGAUUAGCGCACCCAUUAUGGCCGGCUGACGGGUUUUCCCUUACCCAGUCACCCUGCUGAAUCAAAAAAAACAGGGAUGCUGCAUCCGAAGGCUGUGACGGAUGCUUAAGCCUAUUCAGCUACGGAUGCGGUUGGUUCGUUUGGUUCCUGCCGUUUCCCGACAAUCAAUUCCAGAAUAAGCAUGUAGAAAGCUUUUGACGAAUAUGUUUGGACGUGGGUUCGAAUCCCACCAGCUCCACCA